UACGAAGGGUGCAAGCGUUACUCGGAAUUACUGGGCGUAAAGCGUGCGUAGGUGGUGAGUUAAGUCUGUCGUGAAAGCCCCGGGCUCAACCUGGGAAUGGCGAUGGAUACUGGCUCGCUAGAGUGCGGUAGAGGAGAGUGGAAUUCCCGGUGUAGCAGUGAAAUGCGUAGAGAUCGGGAGGAACAUCGGUGGCGAAGGCGGCUAUCUGGACCGACAUUGACGCUGAGGCGCGAAAGCGUGGGGAGCAAACAGG
rnacentral:rRNA from 1 species